GGCCCCUUGUUUAUAGAGUAUAGGGGGUCUGGCCUGCCCAGUGACAUGUGUUAAACGGCCGCGGUAUUUUGACCGUGCAAAGGUAGCAUAAUCAUUUGCUCAUUAAUUGUGGGCUAGUAUGAAUGGCUUGACGAGGGUAGAACUGUCUCUUGGUAGGAUAUAUAGAAGUUAUUUUUUAGGUGAAGAGACCUGAAUGUGGCUAAGGGACGAUAAGACCCUAUCGAGCUUUAGUGGAAUUUUUAGGGCACAUAGAAUAAAUUUAUAUUUUGUUAUUUAGGGGAAUCUUUGAUUGGGGCGAUAUUGAAGUAAGUGAAACCUUUAGUGGUAGUGUUGGGCCGACAGGUUAAAGAUCUGGCAUAUUAUGCAGAGAGGAGGAAUAAGUUACCGUAGGGAUAACAGCGUAAUCUUUUUGGAGAGUUCUUAUUGAGAAAAGGGUUUGCGACCUCGAUGUUGGAUUAAGGUGACCUAAGGGUGUAGGUGCUUUUGAGGGUUAGUCUGUUCGACUAUUAAAACUUUACA
rnacentral:rRNA from 1 species